CCCAGCUUAAUGGGCUGCAGGCCAAGAUAAGAGAAAAAGUGCCCGAAGUUCCAUUUAUUCACUGUUAAACUUGGUGAUCUCACAGUCAGUGAAAUGCAGCCCAGAGUGUCAAAUCAUUUUCAAAACAGUGGAGGGACUCACUUUGACUUUCAAACUCAAAAGGAAUAAAUAAUACUUCCACAACACUACCACGGAGAGGUUCACCCUGACGGACAGACGAAUGGACUUCAUUUACAAGCCAAGGGUCCAGGGUUCGUCUGAGUCGAAGUGGGUGUCCCCUCCGAUCCCAGGGCCCGGAAAGUAGGCGUGGGCUAGGAACCCGCCCUCACCGUCGAAGGGUGAGCUGUCGCCAUGGAAACCUGAGUUUUCCUCUCCCAGGCACCAUUCAAUACAAUUCUCACCUGAGGCGAAGAUGAUGGUGAUGUCCACAUCACGCCUGCCGCUCUCCAGGGCGCU